rnacentral:rRNA from 1 species
CAGUAGCCGCGGUAAAACGUAGGGUGCAAGCGUUAAUCGGAAUUACUGGGCGUAAAGCGUGCGCAGGCGGUUUGUUAAGACAGAUGUGAAAUCCCCGGGCUCAACCUGGGAACUGCAUUUGUGACUGGCAAGCUAGAGUGUGGCAGAGGGGGGUGGAAUUCCGCGUGUAGCAGUGAAAUGCGUAGAUAUGCGGAGGAACACCGAUGGCGAAGGCAGCCCCCUGGGCCAACACUGACGCUCAUGCACGAAAGCGUGGGGAGCAAACAGGAUUAGAUACCCGCGUAGUCCCUGUCUCUUAUAC